GCGACUAAGCGUACACGGUGGAUGCCCUGGCAGUCAGAGGCGAUGAAGGACGUGCUAAUCUGCGAAAAGCGCCGGCGAGGUGAUAUGAACCCUUGACCCGGCGAUGUCCGAAUGGGGAAACCCAGUGCAAUUCGUUGCACUAUCGUUAACUGAAUACAUAGGUUAACGAGGCGAACCGGGGGAACUGAAACAUCUAAGUACCCCGAGGAAAAGAAAUCA
rnacentral:rRNA from 1 species